GGAUGUGAGGGCAAUCUAGUUCCAACAUCUUGUUAUCCUAUUGAUUGCCAGGGGUGAUUGUGCUGACCUGGCUGGCUAGGUAGGUGUAGUCUUCCUCCUCCAACUUUUCACAUGUAUGCCUCCCAAAGCAGAGGGCUUGCUUGAAGAGAAUGACCUUCCCUGGUAGAGAAGGACCAUUUUUAGUCAAAGGUCCCUUGUUAGGACCGUCAAAUAAGCUCUCAAGGUCCAUUUGUAGGAAAAGGAAAAGAGAAAAAUUUGCAAUCUUGAUGAAAUCUAAUUUAUUCUUU
rnacentral:snRNA from 1 species